rnacentral:lncRNA from 1 species
CUAGGGAGAAGGAAACCAGUUGGUUCAAGCUAGUAGACAGUUGGGCCUUUCAUGAAGAGGAUGUCUCACAGAUGGCAGCCAUGAGUUAUAUGCAGAUUGAUGCUGCUAUCUAGGAGCAGUUUCUGGAGAACCAGUUGCAAAUGUACCAGCCUUCUCCCUCGCUCUCCAGUCUUCUGGUCAUAACCAUAGAAAUUCUAACUACUUGUGCAUGGGAUUGCUCUGUGAUGGAAUAGUGUCCAUUUUCCCAAAGGAGGAACAGGUCGGAAAACCAGGAUCUUCUGCACGAUGGUGAGAAGGACAAACCCUGCAGAGAGCUGUAUGGAUGACUAAAGUUAUUGGGCCACCAUGGAUGUUGUUUCUGGUUGUCUUCUGUCUCCAUGCAUUACUCAUUCUCCCUCUCGUAUUACCUAUGGCUGCUGAAUGCGAGCGAUCCCCCAUCAACAGAAGGGAAGGUUUGGAUCUGCAGGAGACUGCGAGAUGAACUCCGCUUCUUCUUGGACUUAAGAGAGUCUUGCAUAAGGAUAGAAUCUUUUCUGGUCUGGAGAAGGUCCUACCUCUGUGCUUCCCUUUACUAUAUACAGCCCCCAAGCUUGCAACGGCCAACUAGGACCCUUUGUAACCUUCUAAACACAUGUGGAAAAUUGAAAGUAAGUGUAAUUUUGGACAAAGUAGAAUACAUGGAUUCUUGUGCCUUGUCUCAUGACCCUGCCCAUUCUCCCUGCAACAAGAAAGCAGAGGAAACUUCUACCAGUAAAUUAAUGUCAGGAUUUCAGAUAAAGAAGUGGGAACUAUAUGGGAAAGGGGCCUUCUGUUUGUAAAUGACUUCAAGUUACAUUAGAAAACAAUUUUCUACUUUCCUGUUUAUUAGGACAAGGAGAAAUUUGUCUCUAGAAGCAAGUUUCAAGAAUUUUCUGACAUCUUGCAUAUUUCUUAGCUUUUUCUGAUCAUGAAAAUUUCUCAAAGCAAACAAAGAUGGAGAGAGAGAGGUAGUGGGAAAAAAUUAGGGUUUUUGCUUGUUUGUUUCAGAAACAUUCAAAUGUAGCUGCUCACAAAUCUUAAACUGGAAAUGACAGUGUGUGAGGACAGGAACACGAGGAACACUUGCUAACCAGGGGCAGAUGUCUCUUUCCCUUUUUGCUGGAAAUACAUGAGUCAGAGCCAUGCCCUUCAGGGAGGGCCUCAGAGUCACCUGCUGAUGUGUGUGCUUUGUCAGGUGGCCAGAGUGUCAUUGUGAGCUAUCCAUCUCCUUUCUCUCUACCUUUGGGACACUGAAAUGCAAAUGUCCAAGAACUUUUGUAGACCCUAAGGGUCCUAGGCCAGGUCUCUCAGCUAUAGGUUAAAAGAAUCAGGGGGGAAAACACUAAUGGAGACUGUAUCGGUAGUAACAAUGGGUAGAAGAACAACCUCCAAGAUACACAGGGCUGUGGACUUCAGAAUGCAGCAGGGAGACAAGGAGUCAGGGGUAGGGGUCUGAAAGAGACAUUUAUUUUUUUCUAUACAUCUUUAUUUGUCUCAUUCCUCUCAAUGUGCUUUGGAAAUUUCCAAGGUGAAAUCAUGGUGUAUUCUGUCUUUGAAAGUAGAAAAUGGCGAUGAUAUAAAAGUGUUCAAAAUUGGAGUAAGUCAUAAGUAAUAAUUUCCCAUAUCCCUGACUUAUGGGGUCCAUAGGUUCUAAAAUGGACUAUCAGACUCUCCAUCCUGUAAAGCAAUUGUAAUGUAAAUUUCAGUAUUUUAGCCAAGAACUAGAAUAAAAUCAAGUUGAGACUAUUUUCAUCCAUUUCAUUUCAGUCAUUUAUUCUAAAUAAAAUUUUAGUACAAAGAGAGACUAGUUAAUAAUUAGCCAAGGGCAUUGUAGGGGGGAAAUGGGAGAGGAAAAUAAGGCAUGAAAGACAAGCUCUACUGAAUUCAUUUCUU